rnacentral:lncRNA from 1 species
UUUUUUUUUUUUUUUUUUUAGGGCUUCACCCACAGCAUUUGGAAGCUUCCAGGGUCUGGGUCAAAUCGGCGCUACCUGCCGGCCUGCAACACAGGAUCUCAGCCACAUCUGAGACCUAUAUCAUGGCUCACAGCAACGCUGGAUCCCUGACCAACUAAGUGAGGCCAGGGAUUGAAUCUGAAUCCUUAUGGCUACUACUCAGAUUCAUUUCCUUUGAGCCAUGACAGGAACUCCCCCUCAUAAUUUUUAAAGCAUUAUUUUAUAUCAAUCAUAACGGAAAUUCUUUAUAAGAUUUGUAAUACUAAUACUUCCUUACGGUAUUUUAAAUAUUCAUGUCCAAUUACCAGACAUUUUUAUCAAGGGCAGACACAGAACUUCAAUUCUAAACAGUAUAAUAUAUCCUAGCAACCUGGAAUCUUGAUUUUCAUAAAUUUAUUUUAACCACCAUUCUGUCACCUUUCAAAUUUAUAUAUUCUCCUUCUUACCAAGGAUAUCACUCAACUUUCAACCUUCAAGUUUUAUUCUACUUCUUAAAGUAUUCUUCAUGCUUUCAUCUUGUUUUAGAUAUGCUCUUGCAAGAAUGAUAAGGCAAACUGAAACUAUUAUGAAACCAUGAUCUCAAUAGUGUGAGAAGGAAGAAGAUAACAAUGAUUUCAGUGUGUUGAUUCAAUAUCUUAUUUCUUUCAAGUUGCUGGAAUAUAAAUCAAAUUAUAUAAAUUAUCAUUCAUCAUUGCCAAUGGUUUAUUAUAGUAUAGUAAUAAUCUACCAGUGUUAAUAUAAACAAUAUUUAUUAUUAUAUAAGAUUUUAGUUUCUUAGGCCCAUUAAAACUUUUUCGCGUGUAUUGUUUUGUUUUUUGGGUUUUGUUUGUUUGUUUUAUUUUUCACUGCACUCACGGCAUAUGGAAGUUCCAGGGCAAGGGAUCAAAUCCAAACCAUAGCUGGGACUUACACCAUAGUUGUAGCAACACCAGAUCCUUAACCCAUUGCACUAUAGCAGGAACUCUAUCUUGUCCACACUUGUAACAAAGUACUUGAAGUUCAGUUGUGUUCCUUGUGAACAUUUAUAAGGGGGAUAUAACAUUGAUUUGAAUGAAUAUCUUCCGCUAAUAUUUAUAUUCCCAAAGAAAAGAAAAGUAUUCCGUCUCUUUACCUGAAUUGAAUUCCAAAUACCUGUAACACCUAGUAUGCAGUAAUUUUUCAGUAGGAAAUACUGCUUUCCUAAUUUGGUCCUUGAAACUUGACCAAAUGUAUACAUUUUAGUUCUCUCUAGACAAUAUGAUUUUAUGAAUAUAGGCUACUGUGGAAGAAUGAAUUCUAAGAUAUUACCAUAAGUUAUGUUUGCAUAUGUGUGUUAGGAUUUGGGUAGGUGAUUUGGAAGAAAGAAAACAUGAACUGAAUUGAAUAUUCAAGCAAAAAGUAAAAGGAAAAUCAAAACUGCACAAAAAGUUCCAGGGGAGUUCCUGUCAUGGCUCAGUGGAAAUGAACCUGACUAGCAUCCAUGAGGACAUGGGGUGGAUCCCUGAUCUGGCUCAGUGGGUUAAGGAUCCAGCAUUGCCGUGAGCUGUGGUGUAGGUCAGACGUGGCUCAGAUCCUAUGUUGCUGUGUCUGUUGUGUAGGCCAGCGGCUGCAGCUCCGAUUGGACCCCUCGCCUAUCAACCUCCAUAUGCCAUGGGUGAGGCCCUAAAAAAGACAAAAAAAAAAAAAAAAAAAAGAUGCAGGAUUAUGAUGAUUUCAUGUAUAUAAGGUUUUAGUCACAUAGAUAUCUACGUAUAUGUAUAAAUAAAUGAGAAAGAAAACAUGCUAUAUACCAAAAAGCCUUGUCAGGAAAAUAGAACAAUUGGUAUUUCACAGGAAGGUUUUAAUAUAAGGAAUUGCUUACACAGAAAUUGAAGGGCUAAACAACAAAAAAGGAAUGUUGAGAUCAUCCGGUAUUAGUAACCACAGGAAGAAACUACCACUAGUUUGGGGGCAUAAAACUGUAGUUAUUCUAAUAUUUGGAGGAAGACACUCCAAAGACUGGCACUCUGACCUCUGAGGAGGCUAUGCAGUCAGGCUAGCACUAUCACCCCUGGAAGGGUGCAAGAAGCUCUGUGUAGAGAUGUGGAAAGAAGCCCGAAUCUAGAACCAGAAACACCACGGUGCUUCUACCUCUGUGAACAAGCUCCCAUUCCAAACCUCUGUAGUGCAAGCAUCCCACCUCCUAACAAUAACCUUAUGUCUCCAUCAAGAUGGCUUUUAGAAUCACCCACACUUCACCCAGUGUUUGAUCUCAUCAGGACCUCCAGCUAAUUAACCAGUCUUUUCUCUCAUAAUAAUAACAUAAAUAAUAAAACAUAUACUAAGUAUGUAUUAUAUGCCAACUAUUGUUCAAUGUCUUUCAUGGGUAAUAAUCCAUUUAAUUUUCACAACAGAAUAUAAGGUUUAUAUACUUAAUGGCCCUUUACUUACUUAUGUAAAGUAAAACUCUACUUUAUAUACUUUUACACAUGAACAACAGAGACAGAGAAUGGAAAAGAUUCCACAGCAAUUAUGAAUCAAGAAAGCUGAGACUUCUAUCCAGGGAAACUUCUGAGUCACCAAUAUUAAGCUCUCUACUUACCUUUCUUUACAUCCAUUAUGUCCAUUUUUUAUAGUCUAGUGACCAUCUUUUUUUCUUUUUUUUUUCCUGCACUUGCAGCAUGUGGAAGUUACUGGGCCAGAAAUCUAAUCUGAGUCCCAGGUGCAACCUAAACCACAUCUGCAGCCAUGUCAGAUCCUUAUUCCACUGCACCUGGCUG